rnacentral:misc_RNA from 1 species
ACGAGUUAGGGUCUCUCAGGCCCGACCUCCCAACCCUCUGUUUACUAGACCUCUGUUGCUUCGGCGGACCCGUCUCAAGCGGACCGCCGGAGGACCGCCCACCGCGGCGUGCGUCCUCUGGCCAGUGUCCGCCGAUAGCCUCUUCAAACUCUGGAAACAAUCAUGAUUUUAGUGUCUAAGUGAUUUUAUUCAAUAUUAAAAGCAA